AUACUUAACUGGUGCCGGGGCCUCGUUGAUUGCCGAGGACGAGCCCCAAGGGCGAGGCGCGGGCAUUGCACUGCGCUCGCGUUGACCCCUGCCGCUACCACAAACUGAGCAGACGGGACCAACGUUUAUAGAACAAAGGUCGGACAUACAAAUUGCUUAAAUCCGGU
rnacentral:snRNA from 1 species